rnacentral:rRNA from 1 species
UACGGAGGGGGCUAGCGUUGUUCGGAAUUACUGGGCGUAAAGCGCACGUAGGCGGCUUUGUAAGUUAGAGGUGAAAGCCCGGGGCUCAACUCCGGAAUUGCCUUUAAGACUGCAUCGCUAGAAUUGUGGAGAGGUAAGUGGAAUUCCGAGUGUAGAGGUGAAAUUCGUAGAUAUUCGGAAGAACACCAGUGGCGAAGGCGGACUUACUGGACACAUAUUGACGCUGAGGUGCGAAAGCGUGGGGAGCAAACAGGGAU